UUCCCGGACUCUCUCCAAGACCAACGUCUCCAAGCAUCUUAGAGCAGAGAGGGAAUGCAGGUGUGCCUGUCUGAAACCCCAUAAUUUGGGAGAGGUCAGUGAUUUUACUUCCUGCCGGUCAGGCCUGCAUGUGAGGUCAAAGUCAGCCCUGAGACUUGCACACAUUUGCACGGGGUAUGGAACUGUUCCAUUAUAGCUGAGGUGGUCGUGGCCCAGAGAGUUCAAGAGACUUGCCUGAUGUUACACAACACAUCAGUGCCAAGCUGGACUGGAACCCAGAGCUUCUGCCACCAGUUCAGUUGUCUUCCUGCCAACCCUGGCUGUGGCCCCAUCCCCAGGAGUCUUUCUCCACCUUAACUUGUGGUAUGUGACUAGGGGAACUAGGACCAAGAGAGGCCCCUGCUGAGUACCUGCCAUGCCCAUAUUAUGUCCAUGUGUGUGGAGCACAAAGAGAGGGGCUGAAGACAGAGGCCUAUCCCUAAGGAACCAGGGAGACAGACCAAGGUGCUGAGACCACCUGGAAGGCCCAUGUGGGGACAACCAGCCCUGACCUAGCCAUGGAUGGUGUGCGGGGGGUGGGGGCAGCAGCAGCACCCAAGUGUCAACAUAGUCCAGGCAAGGAGUGGGCAGCACAGGCUCUGGGCUCAGGGGCUGGUGAGGCUGCCAGGAAACGCAAGGGAAUGGGCUGGCCCAGGAGCCACCAAGCAGUGAACAAGGCAGGCAGGCUGGUGGGGGUACUGGGUCCGGAGCCAAGGCAAGAUGGGCUGCCUCCUCCCCGAGAGGUGGUCAGUCAUUGGCCAGCUGUGGGCCCUGGGGCCUGGGCAGGAACACAUACAUGCCCAGCAGAGUGUGGGAAUGAUUCCUGUCUCCACAUGAGGACUGCCCACCACUGGCCCUCCUGCGCAGGGCAGGGCGGGGCAACCAGCUGCCCAGAUUAGCAGCCAGGAGGAACUGCCACAUUGUCCCAAGGGCUUGCUUAUCAAUAAGGCUGGGGAGGGCCUCCAGGAAAGAAUAUCUCAGGGCAGUCUCACCAUCACUCAGUUAGACAGAGGGAGCCUAGCAUCCCUCAGAAGCCCAGGACGGGCUAGGGUGGGGAGUGAGAGCCCUGUGCCUGUCUUCUGAGACCUAGUGCUAGAGUUUGGGAUUGCUCUGGGACUCCCAGAGGCCAACUGGAGACAUGGCUCUCCUCCCAUUCAUGCCUGCUACCGGGGCUCGCCCCACCUGAGACUCAGACUAGAGCCCUGCAGGAACAGACUCCAUGGAGGGUGGAACGUGGCAGUGGGCCUGAGAGCCGUGGGGCCAGCUCUGGAGAGCCAGGGGGUCCCUGUCAGUGUCUCUAAAAAGCCAUACCCUCUCCACAAGGCUGGGAGAGGAGGCUCCGGUUUGGGGGCUAUUGCAAGCCAAGGGAUCUGACUCUGGAUGGCGGUGCCCCAGAAUCAGCGCUGGGUUCCAACACACAUCCCGAGGCAGAUUUCGAGCCCGAGGCCCCUUCUGCUCCUCCCAAGGGGGCUGUCAGAGCUGUGUGCACCCUAGGUGGGGGGGGCUCCAUUUGCUUUGUCUCACCAUCAGCCAGCAAUUGCAAAUCAACUCCCCUCAUCCCGGUUUGCCUUCUAAAAAGCCCACAUUGACCUCAGACCUCAAAGCUGAAAACCCGGAGUUGGGGAGGGCGGUGUGGAUGCUGCUUCCUCUCCCUGGCACCUGCUCCAGGCUCCCCAGGGAUCCCAAGUUCCCGAAGGUGCUGUCUCCACCUUGGGCAGCUUGAGGCCAGAGCAGCACAGUGACCACUGCGUGUGACAGCCCCGCCCCGUGCAAACAGCUCUGACCACCCACAGCUGGAGGAGGACAAGGGGCGUGAGCUCUGUGCAAAGAACCCCCGAAGCGGACACAGGCGCUCUACAAGGCAGCUUUAUUGGACACUGAGAGCCCUGCGAGUCCCUGGCGGGGCAGCGGCCGCCAGCCGCAUCACUUCUGCCUAGAUGGUGUUCGCUUCCUCCCCUUCCAUCUGAUUUUCUUCAGCAAACGCAGAAAGGCUGGGUACAAGGUGAAGAUCUUUUUUUUGGUCUGGAAUUUACAAGUUUCUCAUUUCACUUUCCACAGGUGGAGCUGGGUCAAGACCUUCUCUGGGGGCCGUCUGCAAUCCCUGUUGGUUCUGGGGGAUGGCGGGGCAGGGAGGGAAGGAGGCCCAGGGCCUCUCUCUGAUGGCACCUAGGCCACUGCAGUUAUGUGGCAAUGAGUGCCAUGUUCUGCCUCGGCGGCCCCACAUGACCACAGCUCCCUCCCUCUGCAGCCCUGGGGGCCAUGGGCAGCACAGCCCCUGGCCCUCUGUCCCCGGGGCACCCACCUCAAUGAUGUUCAGCUGCUCCACACUGGAAGCCACCCUGAAUUCAGGGGUGCUCUGGCGGUAUAGACCGUCUGCAACACAGAAGCAGUGGGUGCCGUGAGCAGAGGAGCAGCCGGGCAGCGCCAGGCCCAUGGGACAGAGGCAGUGACCCUGACAAGUGGUGCCCUGGGGACUCCCAAUCCCCCUGGAUGCCCAGCACUACACAGGAGCUGGGUCAGAGAGAAGAGGCCUUGCCUCUGCAGCCCACCCCCACCAGCCACCCCCAAGUCAGGUACCCUGUGUAUCCUCCGGCUCAGGACUUUCAAUUUUGUCCAUGAGGUCAUUGGAGCUCCACUUGGUGAUGUCCUUGGGGAAUAUUUCUUCUGAAUCAGACAGGUCCUCUGGGGAAGAGAGAGGAGGGCUUCAGCACCCCCUGGCGGCGGGCCUGAGGGGGCCUAGCUGUGCCACUCUGGGGGCUCCCGCGCUUCUCUGGCCUGUGCACACUUCCAUGCUUGCUUCUGCCCUUCACCCCCUCCCUUCUUUAGCAGGGCGGACACGUGACCGACGCCCUUGGCGCUUCUGUCUGACCUUUUCUAAAGCUUGUGAUAAUGUUCACACAACAUAAAAUUCACCAUCUAAACCACUUUAAGGUAGCAUUUAGCACAUUCACGAUGCUGCACAACCACCACCUCUGUCUGGUUCCAGAACAUUUCCAUCUCCCCGAAUGGAAACUUUGUACACAUUAGCAGUCACUCCCCACCGGCCUCUCCCCCAGUCCCUGGCGACCACCGAUCUACUUUCUAUCUCUAUGGAUUUGCCUGUUCUGGACAUUGCACAUAAUGGGAUCAAACAAUGUGUGGUCUUUUGUGUCUGGCUUCUUUCACUGAGCGCCAUAUUGUCAAGCUCCAUCCAUGCUGUGGCAGGUGUCAAUGCUUCCUUCCUUUUUAUGGCUGAAUCCUAUUUCACUGCAUGGUUGGACCACGUUUUGUUUCUCCACCCAUCAUCAGCUAAUGUUCCUGACUCUUUUCAGCAUCGACAGAUGUACAGCCUAGAUAGAAGCGUUGCUGUGAACACUUCCACCCGUUACUCCUCUUGCUGCUUUUAUGAGAACUUCAGCCUGCAGCUGUAGGGGCUCUGGGUCCCUCCUCCAGCCAUGCAGCAGCCUGGCUCCCACCACAGGAGCAGAGACGCCUACUGGAUGUACUGGCGGGACCUACCCAGACUCUGUCUCCUCCUGGGAACUCUGACUCCUGAGAGCUGUAGCUGUCUGGGCCCUAGGAGAGGCUGGGAGCUGGGUUCCCACUGGGCCAGCCUGUCUCACUUGGCCUUUGUAGGUGUGGCCCACAAGGCUGGGAAGCAAGAGUCCGUUUCUGGAAUCAGAAUUAUCUGGCAGUGGCAGGGGUGAGGGCUGUCCCUGAGACCCCCAGUGCUCACCUCCCCGCUUAGAUGACCGUGAGGACUUGGAGGAUGUAGACCACUGUUUCUUGAGGCCCCGGCCUGCCAGGGGCUCCCCGCUGCUACUGCUGGGCUGGGGGGGCUCCCCAGGGGCCUGGGCCUGGCUGGCUUCGUCCUUGGCCAGUUCGGCAGCCUCUUCAUCAUCUUCAUUGAACUGGGCCAUCUUGCGGGACAGCAUGAGCUGCGCUUCUUUCUCCAGCUCCCGGAUGUUCUCCAUAUUGAGCCCGUACCACUCGUCCUGCCAGCACCAGGCCUGCCGGUGGGCCCUCACCAUCACCUUCCGCAGGCCUGCCCCCAGGUGGUGGCGGUGGACAGGGGUUGGGGAGUGGGGGGUGGAGGGAGAGAGACAAGAGAGACGGGCAGGGUUAGCCUCCAGGGCUGGGCGUGGGGCUGGGAGGCACCCCAAGUUUAUACCCAUUGUGUGGCUGUGGACAAAUCACUGCCCCCUCCAUGCCUCAGUUUCCCCAUCUGCAAAUGAGGGAUCUGGCUGACAGAUAGCCUCACGAGCUCUCAGUGGUUCUAUAACCAGAGCAGAGGUGCCUCCUGAGGGAUUGUGCCCACUCAGAAGCCACAAUGAAUUUUGGGGGGCUUCUGGCCCCAGAGGAUGCUGAAGGAGGACUCCCUGACAACCUUCUCCCCAUUACACUUUUGCUGUCA